rnacentral:rRNA from 1 species
AACGAACGCUGGCGGCAUGCCUAACACAUGCAAGUCGAACGAAGGCUUCGGCCUUAGUGGCGCACGGGUGCGUAACGCGUAGGAAUCUGCCCCUCGGUUCGGAAUAACAGUUAGAAACGACUGCUAAUACCGGAUGAUGACUUCGGUCCAAAGAUUUAUCGCCGAGGGAUGAGCCCGCGUAAGAUUAGGUAGUUGGUGGGGUAAAGGCCUACCAAGCCGACGAUCUUUAGCUGGUCUGAGAGGAUGAUCAGCCACACUGGGACUGAGACACGGCCCAGACUCCUACGGGAGGCAGCAGUGGGGAAUAUUGGACAAUGGGCGAAAGCCUGAUCCAGCAAUGCCGCGUGAGUGAUGAAGGCCUUAGGGUUGUAAAGCUCUUUUACCAGGGAUGAUAAUGACAGUACCUGGAGAAUAAGCUCCGGCUAACUCCGUGCCAGCCGCCGCUGUAA